rnacentral:rRNA from 1 species
GAAUCCCACAGGCCGUAAACCCAAGGUUUCCAGGGGAAGGUUCGUCCGCCCUGGGUUAGUCGGGACCUAAGCUGAGGCCGAAAGGCGUAGGUGAUGGACAACAGGUUGAUAUUCCUGUACUACCGAUAACCGUUUGAGAGAAGGGAUGACACAGUAGGAUAAGCUAAGCACACUGUUGGUUAUGUGUGCCCAAGCAUUGAGGCAGUCAAAGUAGGCAAAUCCGCUUUGAUAAUGCUGGGAUGUGAUGGGGAGCGAAAUUUAGUAGCGAAGUAGCUGAUUUCACACUGUCAAGAAAAGUCUCUAUCGAGGUUAAAGGUACCCGUACCGCAAACCGACACAGGUGGGUGAGGAGAGUAUCCUAAGGCCAGCGAGAGAACUGUUGUUAAGGAACUCGGCAAAAUGACCCCGUAACUUAGGGAUAAGGGGUGCCACCAUCAGGUGGCCGCAGAGAAUAGGCCCAAGCGACUGUUUACCAAAAACAUAGGUUUCUGCUAAGUCGCAAGACGAUGUAUAGGAGCUGACGCCUGCCCGGUGCUGGAAGGUUAAGGGGAUCUGUUAGAGCAAUCGAAGCAGUGAACUUAAGCCCCAGUAAACGGCGGCCGUAACUAUAACGGUCCUAAGGUAGCGAAAUUCCUUGUCGGGUAAGUUCCGACCCGCACGAAAGGCGUAACGAUUUGGGCACUGUCUCAACAACAGACUCGGUGAAAUUGUAAUUCCGGUGAAGAUGCCGGAUACCUGCGACAGGACGGAAAGACCCCAUGGAGCUUUACUGUAGCUUGACAUUGGGUCUUGGUACUACAUGUACAGGAUAGGUGGGAGGCUUUGAAACCAGGACGCCAGUUUUGGCGGAGCCAUCCUUGGGAUACCACCCUUGUAGUACUGGGACUCUAACCAUAGGCCAUGAAUCUGGUCUUGGGACACUGUCAGGUGGGCAGUUUGACUGGGGCGGUCGCCUCCCAAAAGGUAACGGAGGCGCUCAAAGGUUCUCUCAGUACGGUCGGAAAU